GAUAGGAUGGCUGAAAAUAGGCGAUAAAUUGUAAAUUUAUUUAUGAAUUAGAAUUCUUCUAUCA
rnacentral:tRNA from 2 species